GGCUGGAGUACAGUGGCAUGAUCAUACCUCACUGUUGCCUCAAACUGCUGAGUCUGAGGUGAUGCUCCUGCCUCAGUCUACCAGUAACUGGGGCUACAGGUAUGUGCCACCAUGCGUGGUUAAUAAUUUUUUUUUUUUUUUUGUAGAAAGGAGGUCUCACUAUGUUGCUCAGGCUGAUUUUGAAUUCCAGCCUCAAGUGAUCCUUCCACCUCGGCCUCUCAAAGUGCUGGGAUUACAGAUUUGAGGCACCGCAUCCGGUCCAUUGCACAUGUUUGUAUGCUGAUGGGAAUGAUCCAGCAGAGGAGGAAUACAAUGAUGCAGGAGAGAGAGGCUAAUUUUAGGAGCAAAGAGCUUAAAGAAGUUAGAUGGGAUUGAAAUCCAACAUAUAGAUUGAGGGAAAGGCCUUUAAUAAGAGCAAGGACAUUUCAUCCAUUAUUAACAGGAAAAAAUGUAGAGUACAUAUGUAUAGAUGCUGGUAUUUUGGUAGAUUUCAUGGUGGAAAGAUAUGUAGAUCUUUCAGAAUUUCUUCUAUUCUCAGUGAAGAAAAAAGUGAAAUCAUCAGCUAAGAGCGAGGAGGAAAGGAUGCAUAAGGUUGAGGAAUGAGAGCACUCACCAUAAUUUCUGGGACAGCUGGAAAAUAAAUUGACUGUGGAAAUACAGUAUGACUGGCAAGCAGCACUGAGAGCCCACUUGAAGUUCAGGGGCAUGGAUUUAAAGGUCAGUUAUCAUAGUUGGCAUAGUUGUUUGCCUUUCUCUUGCCAUUAUCUGUUAUUCCAAGUGCAGGCAAGGGUUCGAUUUAACAAGGCAAGAAUGACAGAGGGAGAGAGAAUCAAGGGAGUAAUUCCAUUGUUGGUCCAUGGAAUAUAAGGUGAGGAGAGACAGCAGGACAUAAGAUAGUGAUAUAUAAUGAAAAGUUCAUAGGAUCAAUGGAUUUGAAGUCCCUUAAGCUGAAAAUUUGAUAGGGGGGUUCAUGGAGGAGUGAGCUGGAAAGCUAAGACAUGGUUAGAGAUUAGAGUGCUUGAAAUAGUCUGGAAAUGGUAGAGCAGUUAACAAUGGCUUUGAUAGUGGGUGCCUACGAUGGGGUGAAGGACAAGAUCUUUCCAAGUGAGGAGAUCAGAGAACUGAGAAGCCAAAUGGAUCAUCCAAGUGGAUAUGAAAUCUCCAUGCAUGAUGAUAGGAGUGGCGGCAGAGAGAAAAGCAGUAAACUAGAGCAGUUUUGGGAGAGUAGAGGAAAGAAGCCUAACCAAAUGUGUUGAGAAUGAGAGGUGAAGAAAUUGAGUCAGGUGUCAGUUUCCCAUCUGAGUCCCUUGAAACGC
rnacentral:lncRNA from 10 species